rnacentral:tRNA from 1 species
GGACAGAUGGCCGAGUGGCUUAAGGCGCACGCCUGGAAAGCGUGUGUACGUCAAAAGCGUACCGAGGGUUCGAAUCCCUCUCUGUCCG